UACGGGGGGGGCGAGCGUUGUUCGGAAUCACUGGGCGUAAAGGGCGCGUAGGCGGCCCGCACAAGUCUGCGGUGAAAACCCCCGGCUUAACCGGGGGCCGGCCGUGGAAACUGUCGGGCUGGAGGCUGGGAGAGGGCAGCGGAAUUCCCGGUGUAGCGGUGAAAUGCGUAGAGAUCGGGAGGAACACCGGCGGCGAAGGCGGCUGCCUGGACCAGUCCUGACGCUAAGGUGCGAAAGCUAGGGGAGCAAACAGG
rnacentral:rRNA from 1 species